rnacentral:rRNA from 1 species
GUGUCAGCCGCCGCGGUAAGACGAACCGUGCGAACGUUGUUCGGAUUCACUGGGCUUAAAGGGCGCGUAGGCGGCUUGCCAAGUCUGGGGUGAAAUCUUUCGGCUCAACCGGAAAAGUGCCUGGGAUACUGGCAAGCUCGAGGGAAGUAGGGGCAUGUGGAACUUCUGGUGGAGCGGUGAAAUGCGUUGAUAUCAGAAGGAACGCCGGUGGCGAAAGCGACGUGCUGGACUUCUUCUGACGCUGAGGCGCGAAAGCUAGGGGAGCAAACGGGAUUAGAUACCCCAGUAGUCC